UAAGAUAUUUAGAUAUGGAAUGGCAGAGCAGAUUGUGUCUGUCUUUACUCAUAUCCUGCCGAUCUACUGCCGACUGUGCGUGGCCAUACUUGAUCAGCAUUUUAGCGGACGAUAAAACCCCUCAAGAAUUCAGUAAUUUCCCUUCCUAGUUCCUACCUCGCUCGCUCGACCGUUUAGGAAGCUGUAAGUAUCUGUAUGAUCAGCUGUACUACUGUAUCCAGACUUGAUUUUCUUCCCAAUUUCUUUUUCUACUCAAAUAUGGUGUGCAUUUAGGGCUUUGUGAGGUGCUUCUCGGUUUUCUGUGAUCAUUUAAUUGUCCCUCAAAUCACGCGAAGGAGAAAAAUUGAGAUUUUUAUCAUAUAAGUGGACUUACAUUUUCAGCUCCAAUUGAGUUUGACAAAGGCUACUCAGUAAAUUGAGGUCAAGAUUUGGCAUUUGGGUGUACCCCGGAUAUAUAGGGUGAGAACAAUGCCAAUGGCCAAGCACUUCCGAUGUCUACACUCGACAAAUUGUGUUUGCAUAAAAGGGCAUAUGAGUGAAGAAGUGAUAUUUUUACUUUUCCAGCAUUUGAACUGGAACCCUAAGAUGAUUGCAGCUCUGUCGUGUGUAUGCAAAUGGUUUGAUGAUCUAGCCAAGAGGGUGCUUUGGAAGGAGUUCUGUAAGGAAAGAGCACCCAAGAUGAUGCUUGAUCUGCAGUCUAGUAGGAGUCACAGUGUUGAUGGGAACUGGAGCGCCCUUGGAAAGCUUCUGAUUUACUGCUCCGGCUGUACCAAGGGCGGCUUGUUCAAUAGCAUUAAUAUUCCUGGACAUGUUGUUCACAAAACCCGUUUCUCAAGGACAUCUGGGAAGAGCUUUCUUUUACCGCAAUGCAGGAUGGAUGUUUUGUAUGUAUCUGACCCUUGCGAGCAUCUUGACCAAGGAGAAGAGGGGGAUGUUGGUUUUUUCCGUGGACUGUUUAAAUCGUUUGCAACAUCAAAAGUUCGGAAAAUGCUGAUUCAGAGAGAGGCACAGCUACACCCAAAGGAGGUAUGUCCUUACUGUAAGGCUAAGUUGUGGAGCAUGCUGCAGGCAAAGAUGAUACCAUCAAGUGCCAGCUGUAGGUUGGACGCUUAUGAAGAUGCAGUUGAGUAUUAUGUGUGCCUUAACGGGCAUGUGCUUGGGAUGUGCACCCUCUUAUCUUUUUCUGAUACAGAGGAAGCAUUCGAAUCCGGGUGUGACACUUGAGAGUGCAGGUAAGAAAUCAAAGAGGAGAACCUACUUUUCGGAGAUAGGAAUUGGUAUAUAUGAAUAGGACCUCCACCCAACAAUUCCCCUAGCUGCCAAUUGCUAGACUUGGCCUUUUAUUGGCCUCCGCCUAACAAUUUGCUAUACUCUUCUGUUUCAAGACCAGUAACACAUUAGGAGAUUCUGGCAUUCUGCAGCAUGAACCAACUCCUCUGUAGCAGCUGAAAUUUUAUGCUUCAACCAAACCCAUCCAUUAUUAAAAUGGACAGGUUUUUAAAAUAUUGUUUACUAUUAUUUAUCAGAUCUUGAAAUUUUGGAAGAAUGGAUCUACCAUCUCUUUGGAACAUGGUGGAUAUCACGGAGGCUUUAAACUUUAAAGAGGGACAUACCAGACAAGGCUGUUUAGUUAACAAUCUCGGGGUUGCAGAUGCAUUUAUCCAUCCUAGUUUGCUUAGUUAACAAUCUUGGGGUUGCAGAUGCAUAUAUCCAUCCUAGUUUGCUGUUUCCAGGUCCCAUUUACUCACCAUUUUAUCCAGUUGUUAGCUUACAACAUUGCUCAUAUGAACCAUGUUUGUAAAUUCUUAGACAUCAGUGAAAUUUGUAACAUCUUAGGCACUUGCUUAUUGUGAAUCAUUUGGAUUAUGUUAUGUAUUUUGGACACAUUUAAGUUCCAUUUUUUUUUCUU